GCGAACGCUGGCGGCAGGCCUAACACAUGCAAGUCGAACGGAUCCUUCGGGAUUAGUGGCGGACGGGUGAGUAACACGUGGGAACGUGCCUUUUGGUUCGGAACAACUCAGGGAAACUUGAGCUAAUACCGGAUAAGCCUUUCGAGGGAAAGAUUUAUCGCCAUUAGAGCGGCCCGCGUAGGAUUAGCUAGUUGGUGAGGUAAAGGCUCACCAAGGCUACGAUCCUUAGCUGGUCUGAGAGGAUGAUCAGCCACAUUGGGACUGAGACACGGCCCAAACUCCUACGGGAGGCAGCAGUGGGGAAUCUUGCGCAAUGGGCGAAAGCCUGACGCAGCCAUGCCGCGUGAAUGAUGAAGGUCUUAGGAUUGUAAAAUUCUUUCACCGAGGACGAUAAUGACGGUACUCGGAGAAGAAGCCCCGGCUAACUUCGU
rnacentral:rRNA from 1 species